AACACGACUCUCGGCAACGGAUAUCUUGGCUCUCGCAUCGAUGAAGAACGUAGCGAAAUGCGAUACCUGGUGUGAAUUGCAGAAUCCCGCGAACCAUCGAGUCUUUGAACGCAAGUUGCGCCCGAGGCCACCCGGCCGAGGGCACGCCUGCCUGGGCGUCACGC
rnacentral:rRNA from 1 species